rnacentral:rRNA from 1 species
GGUCCAGACUCCUACGGGAGGCAGCAGUGGGGGAUAUUGCACAAUGGGGGAAACCCUGAUGCAGCGACGCCGCGUGGGUGAAGAAGCGCCUCGGCGCGUAAAGCCCUGUCAGCAGGGAAGAAAAUGACGGUACCUGAGUAAGAAGCCCCGGCUAACUACGUGCCAGCAGCCGCGGUAAUACGUAGGGGGCAAGCGUUAUCCGGAUUUACUUGGUGUAAAGGGAGCGUAGACGGCGAAGAAAGUCUGAAGUGAAAGCCCGCGGCUCAACCGCGGAAUGGCUUUGGAAACUUUUUUGCUGGAGUACCGGAGAGGUAAGCGGAAUUCCUAGUGUAGCGGUGAAAUGCGUAGAUAUUAGGAGGAACGCCAGUGGCGAAGGCGACUUUCUGGACUGUACCUGACGCUGAGGCGCGAAAGCGUGGGUAGCGAACGGGAUUAGAUACCCCGGUACC